AGCAGUUUGGCGCAGUGGCAGCGCGGUAUGUCCCCUCAUCUCCACAACAUCUGAAUUCCUUACUAAUUCCAUCAAUAGCCGGGCUCAUAACCCGGAGGUCGACGGAUCGAAGCCGUCAACUGCUA
rnacentral:tRNA from 1 species